rnacentral:rRNA from 1 species
UUCGAUUCCGGCAGAGCACUCGCAGUGGCAGUCAUAUCCUCUCCCCACGUCCCACGAUGUGUGGCGCGCGCGACGCCGCGUGCCGGCGAGCGGCCAGCUGGCGAACCUUAUCCGCCGCCUCUUCCUCGGUCGCAGAUGCUGAGGCGGGCCAUGGCGCUGGCGCUGACCCUCGCCGCGGCGCACCGGCCGUGCGUGCUCCUCCGCCGCCGGCCGCGUGCCGCACGUGACGAGCGGCCACUCGAAGGGACGCCUCGUGGGGGUGGUGGGGCCCGCCUGCCACUCCGCCAGUUCCACUUCCGCUUCCAAGUCCACCACGUGCGGUCCCAUCGCCUGCCGCCGCCCCGACGCCGCCGGAGCCCCAAUGGCCGCCGCCGCCGCCGCCGGAGACCUCAGGUCGGAGUUCCGCGAGGUGCUCCUCAGCCGCCGCCGCGAACUCCAAGUCCCGGUGCCUACGACCGUGGAGAAAGGGAGCCCGGUGAAGGAGCCACUGUACCAAGGCAACGGGCCUCUGGGGGGCAGAGAGGCCAUGGAGUCGUGCCCGAGGAAGGAGGUGGAGAAUUUCGAGGAGAAGCUGGUUGAGGAAAAUUUCUACCUCAUGACCGAGUCGGGCGAACAGGGACGCCUACCUGUACUUCUACUGAAACUUAACGACGCUGCUCCUGAAAGAAAGCCCGUUGUUGUAAUACUGCACAGCUCUUACAAAUGCAAGGAAUGGUUGCGUCCUCUACUUGAGGCAUAUGCCUCCAGGGGUUAUAUUGCUGUCGCCAUCGAUUCUCGUUAUCACGGUGAAAGGGCCAGCAGCAAGACUACUUACAUAGAGGCACUCAAUUCAGCUUGGAGGAAUGGGGACACUAUGCCUUUUAUUUUUGACACGGUGUGGGACUUGAUAAAGCUUGGAGAUUAUCUUAGUGCAAGGGAGGAUGUCGAUCCCUCUAGGAUAGGGAUUACUGGUGAAUCACUCGUGGGUAUUAUAGAUCAUGAUUGCAUCAUGAUACUGAAUUAAUACAUAGACUUCACUUUUAGAAAAUUUAUCUUUUUUAUUUGGAGCUGAAUACAGGAAUGCAUGCAUGGUUUGCUGCUUUUGUGGAUACACGGUACAGUGUUGUUGUUCCAAUAAUUGGUGUUCAGGGAUUUCAAUGGGCAAUAGAUAAUGACAAGUGGCAAGCUAGAGUUGAUAGCAUUAAGCCUUUAUUUGAAGAAGCAAGAAUUGAUUCAGGGAAGAGUGAAAUAGAUGCAGAGGUUGUGAAAAAGGUUUGGGACAAGAUAGCACCUGGUAUGGCUUCACAGUUUGAUGCUCCCUACUCAGUUCCUCUGAUUGCACCACGUCCGCUCCUCCUCCUAAAUGGUGCUGACGACCCUCGUUGCCCAGUCCUUGGUCUACAAGAACCUGCCUCCAAAGCUGCUAAGGCUUAUGAAGAAGCUGGUUCUGCGGAGAAGUUCAAGUUCGUCGCGGAGCCGGGAGUUGGGCACAGGAUGACCGCGAGCAUGGUGAAGGAAGCGAGCGACUGGUUCGACCGCUUUCUCUAGUUCUCAGACGAUUAUCAUGGCCGCUCACCUUGUACCACCAUGCAUGCCUCCUGAAGUGCAUGUCCUCAAUAAAUUGCCCUCUGUUUGGAUUGCAUUCCUGCUGACCGAGACCGGAAUCAGUAAGCCUAGCCUCAUCAUCAUUACCAUUGGUACUACCUAAUCUCUAUGCUAGUGAGAUGUGGAACAAAAAUGUGUGCCUAUAUAUGUUUCGCCGCGGACACAACAUGUGUCGGUAACCGCAGAUUUAUCCUGUAUGUAUCAUCCUGUUUCUGAGACCGUAUUUUUCUAGCAAAUCUGUUUUUACC